rnacentral:rRNA from 1 species
AACGAACGCUGGCGGCGCGUCUUAAACAUGCAAGUCGAACGAUCUGUAGCAAUACAGGGAGUGGCGGACGGGUGAGGAACACGUAGGAAUCUACCUUGAAGAGCGGGACAACUUUGGGAAACCGGGGCUAAUACCGCAUAGUACAGAGAUGUUAAAGGGCUAGCAAUAGUCGCUUCGAGAUGAGCCUGUGGUCUAUCAGCUUGUUGGUGAGGUAAUGGCUCACCAAGGCUACGACGGAUAGCCGGUCUGAGAGGAUGAUCGGCCACACUGGCACUGAGACACGGGCCAGACUCCUACGGGAGGCAGCAGUUAAGAAUCUUGCGCAAUGGGGGAAACCCUGACGCAGCGACGCCGCGUGAAGGAUGAAGGCUUUCGGGUUGUAAACUUCGGUAGACUGGGAAGAAGAAAUACGUUCGUUGAGGGCGUAUAGUGACGGUACCAGUCUGAAGCCCCGGCUAAUUACGUGCCAGCAGCCGCGGUAAU